GACGAACGCUGGCGGCGUGCUUAACACAUGCAAGUCGAACGGUAAGGCCCUUCGGGGUACACGAGUGGCGAACGGGUGAGUAACACGUGGGUGAUCUGCCCUGCACUUCGGGAUAAGCCUGGGAAACUGGGUCUAAUACCGGAUAGGACCACUGCCUGCAUGGGUGGUGGUGGAAAGCUUUUGCGGUGUGGGAUGGGCCCGCGGCCUAUCAGCUUGUUGGUGGGGUGAUGGCCUACCAAGGCGACGACGGGUAGCCGGCCUGAGAGGGUGACCGGCCACACUGGGACUGGGAUACGGCCCAGACUCCUACGGGAGGCAGCAGUGGGGAAUAUUGCACAAUGGGCGCAAGCCUGAUGCAGCGACGCCGCGUGAGGGAUGACGGCCCUCGGGUUGUAAAGCUCUGUCUUUGGGGACGAUAAUGACGGUACCCAAGGAGGAAGUCACGGCUAACUACGUGCCAGCCGCCGCCGUAA
rnacentral:rRNA from 1 species